rnacentral:rRNA from 1 species
AUGAACGCUGGCGGCGUGCCUCAUACCUGCAAGUCGCGCGAACAGACGAGGAGCUUGCUCCUUCGACGUUAGCGGCGGACGGGUGAGUAACACGUAGGUAACCUACCUAUAAGACUGGGAUAACUUCGGGAAACCGGAGCUAAUACCGGAUAAUAUUUCGAACCGCAUGGUUCGAUAGUGAAAGAUGGCUUUGCUAUCACUUAUAGAUGGACCUGCGCCGUAUUAGCUAGUUGGUAAGGUAACGGCUUACCAAGGCAACGAUACGUAGCCGACCUGAGAGGGUGAUCGGCCACACUGGAACUGAGACACGGUCCAGACUCCUACGGGAGGCAGCAGUAGGGAAUCUUCCGCAAUGGGCGAAAGCCUGACGGAGCAACGCCGCGUGAGUGAUGAAGGUCUUCGGAUCGUAAAACUCUGUUAUUAGGGAAGAACAAACGUGUAAGUAACUGUGCACGUCUUGACGGUACCUAAUCAGAAAGCCACGGCUAACUACGUG